ACUAUUUUCCAGCCACAGGGGCAGGGGCGUUCCAGCGGAGCCAAUGCAGGCGCAAGUUUGGGAAAAAUAAGACGCGGAGAGGAUUUAAGUAUUGAGAUUGCAGUGAAAAAGAUGUACUCAUUGAGUGGACUGAAUACAACGGUUGUUUUUAUAGGUGGCAGUACAAGAAGCUACAAUUUUCCCUUCCCACCCAGGGAUGGCAUCAUCAUCGUGAAAAACCUAGAGAAGAAAAAAAAAAGAGCCACAGUGAAAAAAUAAGUAAGACAGGGAUGUCUAGAUGGCUGCUGCUGAUAAAACCAAGACCUCAACACAGAAGAUAAAGAACAUACAGAGGAAAGCCUUAAGUUAGAGUCUACGUCCCUUUUGUUUCGUCCCUAAAGUUAUACCUAAAUAUAAAAAUGUAUACAAAUGCAUACAUAUAUAUAAAUAUAAA